GACGAACGCUGGCGGCGUGCUUAACACAUGCAAGUCGAACGGAAAGGCCCUGCUUUUGUGGGGUGCUCGAGUGGCGAACGGGUGAGUAACACGUGAGUAACCUGCCCUUGACUUUGGGAUAACUUCAGGAAACUGGGGCUAAUACCGGAUAGGAGCUCCUGCUGCAUGGGGGGGGUUGGAAAGUUUCGGCGGUUGGGGAUGGACUCGCGGCUUAUCAGCUUGUUGGUGGGGUAGUGGCGUACCAAGGCUUUGACGGGUAGCCGGCCUGAGAGGGUGACCGGCCACAUUGGGACUGAGAUACGGCCCAGACUCCUACGGGAGGCAGAAGUGGGGAAUAUUGCCCAAUGGGCGGAAGCCUGAUGCAGCAACGCCGCGUGCGGGAUGACGGCCUUCGGGUUGUAAACCGCUUUCGCCUGUGACGAAGCGUGAGUGACGGUAAUGGGUAAAGAAGCACCGGCUAACUACGUG
rnacentral:rRNA from 1 species